rnacentral:rRNA from 1 species
GAUGAACGCUGGCGGCGUGCCUAAUACAUGCAAGUCGAGCGAAAGGACGAGACGCUUGCUGCUCUGACGUUAGCGGCGGACGGGUGAGUAACACGUGGAUAACGUACCUGUAAGACGGGGAAAACUUCGGGAAACCGGCGCUAAUACCGGAGAAUAUUUUGCACCGCAUGGUUGAAUGGAGAGAGACGGUGUUGGGGUAACUACUAGAUGGAUCUGCGCUGGAUUAGCUAGUAGGUAAGGUAACGGCUUACGACGGCAACGAUGCAUGAGCGAGCUGAGAGGCGGGUCGGCCACACUGGAACUGAGCCACGGACCAGACUCCUACGAGACGCAGCAGUAGGGAAUCGGACGCAAUGGGCGGAAGCCUGACGGAGCAACGGCGCGUGAGUGAUGACGGUCUUCGGAUCGUAAAACUCUGUUAUGAGGGAAGAACCGCUGUGGAAGUAACUGUGCAGUGCUUGACGGUACCUAAUCAGAAAGCCACGGCUAACUACGUG